rnacentral:rRNA from 1 species
UACGGAGGAUCCAAGCGUUAUCCGGAUUUAUUGGGUUUAAAGGGUGCGCAGGCGGAAGAUUAAGUCGGCGGUGAAAUUUUGCAGCUCAACUGUAAAAGUGCCUUCGAAACUGGUUUUCUUGAGUGUGGAUGAAGUAGGCGGAAUUUGUGGUGUAGCGGUGAAAUGCAUAGAUAUCACGAGGAACUCCAAUUGCGAAGGCAGCUUACUAAGCCAUAACUGACGCUCAGGCACGAAGGCGUGGGGAUCAAACAGG